rnacentral:rRNA from 1 species
AUUUUCGACGACCGCUGGCGGCGCUUUUUUAAGCAUGCAAGUCGAGCGGUAAGCUAACUUCGGUUAGCCUAGAGCGGCGGACGGGUGAGUAACACGUGGAUAAUCUACCCUCUUGUUUGGGAUAGCCUGUGGAAACAUGGGGUAAUACCAAAUAAUACUCUUUUAUCACAAGAUAAGAGAAGGAAAGGCGCUGAGGCGUCGCGAGAGGAUGAGUCUGCGUCCCAUUAGCUAGAUGGUAGGGUAAAAGCCUACCAUGGCGAUGAUGGGUAGCCGGCCUGAGAGGGUGAUCGGCCACAUUGGAACUGAGAUACGGUCCAGACUCCUACGGGGGGCAGCAGCUAAGAAUCUUCCGCAAUGGACGAAAGUCUGACGGAGCGACGCCGCGUGAACGAUGAAGGCCGUGAGGUUGUAAAGUUCUUUUCGGGAGGAGGAAUAAGGUUUGCAGGGAAUGGCAGACUGAUGACGUGAAUCCCGGAAUAAGCCCCGGCUAACUACGUGCCAGCAGCCGCGGUAACACGUAGGGGGCAAGCGUUGUUCGGAAUCAUUGGGCGUAAAGGGCGUGCAGGCGGUACUGCAAGUCUGGCGUGAAAGAUCUCGGCUUAACCGAGGGGAACGCGCUGGAAACUGUAAUACUAGAGUACAGGAGGGGACAUUGGAAUUCCAGGUGUAGGGGUGAAAUCUGUAGAUAUCUGGAAGAACACCGGUGGCCAAAGGCAAAUGUC